rnacentral:lncRNA from 1 species
UUGAACUAUUGAUUUAUGUAAUUUGAAAUAACAAAUUUUGUUUACGACGAAACCUAGAAAUCGAUCAUUGAUCCAAUUUGAGAACCUCUGCAGGAUAGACCUCAAUAGAAAACUGAAGAGUAAGGCAGUAAGUGAUUGAGUUCAGUAGUUUGUCAUAUAAAAUUAUUGACUGUCGAGAUAUAGUAAUAUGGAGAAUAAUUGGAAAUAACCAAUUAGGUUUACGACGAAACCUAGAAAUCGAUCACUGAUCCAAUUUGAGUACCUCUGCAGGAUAGACCUCAACAGAAAACUGAAGAGUAACGGCAGCAAGUGAUUGAGUUCAGUAGUUCCUCAUAUAAAAUUAUUGACUCUAGAGAUAUAGUAAUAUGGAGAAGACAAAAUUCUUUCAAGCACCGACAGAACCGGAAGCGCCCUUUGUUUC